rnacentral:rRNA from 1 species
UACGGGGGGGGUAAGCGUUGUUCGGAAUUACUGGGCGUAAAGGGCUCGUAGGCGGUCCAUCGCGUCGGGAGUGAAAAGCUGGGGCUUAACCCCAGUCCUGCUUCCGAUACGGGUGGACUAGAGGUAGGUAGGGGAGAACGGAAUUCCCGGUGUAGUGGUGAAAUGCGUAGAUAUCGGGAGGAACACCAGUGGCGAAGGCGGCUUUCUGGCCCAUUCUUGACGCUGAGGCGCGAAAGCUAGGGUAGCAAACGGG